GGGUUGUGAGGUUAAGCGAAUAAGCGUACACGGUGGAUGCCUAGGCAAUCAGAGGCGAUGAAGGACGUGCUAAUCUGCGAUAAGCGUCGGUAAGGUGAUAUGAACCGUUAUACCCGACGAUUUCCGAAUGGGGAAACCCAAUAUCCAAUGGAUAUUAUCAUGACGUGAAUACAUAGCGUCAUGAAGCGAACCGGGAGAACUGAAACAUCUCAGUACCCCGAGGAAAAGAAAUCAACCGAGAUUCCCCUAGUAGCGGCGAGCGAACGGGGAACAGCCCAGAGUCUUAAUCAAUAGCAGCAUCAGGAGAACGGUCUGGAAAGUCCGGCAGUAAAGGGUGAUAGCCCCGUAUCCGAAGAUGCUGUUAUUGUGAACUCGACGAGUAGGGCGGGACACGUGUUAUCCUGUCUGAAUAUGGGGGGACCAUCCUCCAAGGCUAAAUACUCCUGAUUGACCGAUAGUGAACCAGUACCGUGAGGGAAAGGCGAAAAGAACCCCGGCGAGGGGAGUGAAAAAGAACCUGAAACCGUGUACGUACAAGCAGUAGGAGCCUCUUUAUGGGGUGACUGCGUACCUUUUGUAUAAUGGGUCAGCGACUUAUAUUCUGUAGCAAGGUUAACCGUAUAGGGGAGCCGUAGGGAAACCGAGUCUUAACUGGGCGAAUGAGUUGCAGGGUAUAGACCCGAAACCCGGUGAUCUAUCCAUGGGCAGGUUGAAGGUUGGGUAACACUAACUGGAGGACCGAACCGACUAAUGUUGAAAAAUUAGCGGAUGACUUGUGGAUGGGGGUGAAAGGCCAAUCAAACCGGGAGAUAGCUGGUUCUCCCCGAAAGCUAUUUAGGUAGCGCCUCGUGAACUCAUCUUCGGGGUAGAGCACUGUUUCGACUAGGGGGUCAUCCCGACUUACCAACUCGAUGCAAACUGCGAAUACCGAAGAAUGUUAUCACGGGAGACACACGGCGGGUGCUAACGUCCGUCGUGAAGAGGGAAACAACCCAGACCGCCAGCUAAGGUCCCAAAGUCAUGGUUAAGUGGGAAACGAAGUGGGAAGGCUCAGACAGCCAGGAUGUUGGCUUAGAAGCAGCCAUCAUUUAAAGAAAGCGUAAUAGCUCACUGGUCGAGUCGGCCCGCGCGGAAGAUGUAACGGGGCUAAACCAUGCACCGAAGCUGCGGCAGCGACACUAUGUGUUGUUGGGUAGGGGAGCGUUCUGUAAGCCUGCGAAGGUGUACUGUGAGGUAUGCUGGAGGUAUCAGAAGUGCGAAUGCUGACAUAAGUAACGAUAAUGCGGGUGAAAAACCCGCACGCCGGAAGACCAAGGGUUCCUGUCCAACGUUAAUCGGGGCAGGGUGAGUCGACCCCUAAGGCGAGGCUGAAAAGCGUAGUCGAUGGGAAACGGGUUAAUAUUCCCGUACUGGUGGUAACUGCGAUGGGGGAACGGAGAAGGCUAGGUUGUCCGGGCGACGGUCGUCCCGGUUCAAGCAUGUAGGCAGAGUGAUUAGGCAAAUCCGGUCACUUAAUGCUGAGGUGUGAUGACGAACCACUAAGGUGGUGAAGCAAUUGAUGCCCUGCUUCCAGGAAAAGCCUCUAAGCUUCAGGUUACCAACAAUCGUACCCCAAACCGACACAGGUGGUCAGGUAGAGAAUACUCAGGCGCUUGAGAGAACUCGGGUGAAGGAACUAGGCAAAAUGGUGCCGUAACUUCGGGAGAAGGCACGCUGGCGGUAAGUGAAGUCCCUCGCGGACGGAGCCGAAGCCAGUCGAAGAUACCAGCUGGCUGCAACUGUUUAUUAAAAACACAGCACUGUGCAAACACGAAAGUGGACGUAUACGGUGUGACGCCUGCCCGGUGCUGGAAGGUUAAUUGAUGGGGUUAUCCUUAGGGAGAAGCUCUUGAUCGAAGCCCCAGUAAACGGCGGCCGUAACUAUAACGGUCCUAAGGUAGCGAAAUUCCUUGUCGGGUAAGUUCCGACCUGCACGAAUGGCGUAAUGAUGGCCAGGCUGUCUCCACCCGAGACUCAGUGAAAUUGAACUCGCUGUGAAGAUGCAGUGUACCCGCGGCAAGACGGAAAGACCCCGUGAACCUUUACUAUAGCUUGACACUGAACAUUGAGCCUUGAUGUGUAGGAUAGGUGGGAGACUAUGAAGUGUGGACGCCAGUCUGCAUGGAGUCAACCUUGAAAUACCACCCUUUAACGUUUGAUGUUCUAACCUAGGCCCGUAAUCCGGGUCGGGGACCGUGUCUGGUGGGUAGUUUGACUGGGGCGGUCUCCUCCUAAAGAGUAACGGAGGAGCACGAAGGUUGGCUAAGCAUGGUCGGACAUCAUGCGGUUAGUGCAAAGGCAUAAGCCAGCUUGACUGUGAGAGUGACGGCUCGAGCAGGUACGAAAGUAGGUCUUAGUGAUCCGGUGGUUCUGAAUGGAAGGGCCAUCGCUCAACGGAUAAAAGGUACUCCGGGGAUAACAGGCUGAUACCGCCCAAGAGUUCAUAUCGACGGCGGUGUUUGGCACCUCGAUGUCGGCUCAUCACAUCCUGGGGCUGAAGUAGGUCCCAAGGGUAUGGCUGUUCGCCAUUUAAAGUGGUACGCGAGCUGGGUUUAGAACGUCGUGAGACAGUUCGGUCCCUAUCUGCCGUGGGCGUUGGAAGAUUGAGAGGGGUUGCUCCUAGUACGAGAGGACCGGAGUGAACGCACCACUGGUGUUCGGGUUGUCAUGCCAAUGGCAUUGCCCGGUAGCUAAGUGCGGAAGAGAUAACCGCUGAAAGCAUCUAAGCGGGAAACUUGCCUCGAGAUGAGUCUUCCCUGUCACCUUGAGUGACCUAAAGGAACGUUUAAGACUAAGACGUUGAUAGGCUGGGUGUGUAAGCGUAGCGAUACGUUGAGCUAACCAGUACUAAUGAACCGUGAGGCUUAACCUGACAACACCGAAGGUGUUU
rnacentral:rRNA from 1 species